UACGUAGGAUGCAAGCGUUGUCCGGAUUUACUGGGCGUAAAGCGUGCGCAGGCGGUUAUGCAAGACAGAUGUGAAAUCCCCGGGCUCAACCUGGGAACUGCAUUUGUGACUGUAUAGCUAGAGUACGGUAGAGGGGGAUGGAAUUCCGCGUGUAGCAGUGAAAUGCGUAGAUAUGCGGAGGAACACCGAUGGCGAAGGCAAUCCCCUGGACCUGUACUGACGCUCAUGCACGAAAGCGUGGGGAGCAAACAGG
rnacentral:rRNA from 1 species